GGUUCCAGCCAGCACGAGAGGGCUUCAUGCCAGAUAUAAACCGCUAAAGCACGAGCUCGGGCUCAUGCCGGAGCGUUGUUUACCGAGGCGAGCGGGACAUCCUCUUAGAAGUAUCAGGGUUAUCAUUUAACUAUAGUGAAUACACCCUGAUUUCAACCCAUCAUUCUGACUUCAGAUAACGAUGUGAAACUCAACCGGGCGAGGGUGUGCAUAUCAAGGAAUCGUCACCGUUUUAAAUGGACAGGAUGUGAAACUGCGAAAGAUUAUUAAUCACAGAACUAUCCCUGUACAGAUAGCGGUGGUGGCUUCAGGAUAGCAAUGUGGUUAAGUUACAACUGGCCACAGGUUUGGCCAGCACCUUUCCAGUCAGGGAGUGCAGAUGGACCGAUACAUAUGAAAUAAGGACUACGGCAGAGGUGAAGACCGAGAGGAUCAGUGGGUUUCAGAGUGCACAGACAUUAGUGACGAAAGAUAGGGAUCUUUCCUGGUGACAAAGGAAGAAAUGGCAUUGCACAUGGAAAUAAGAAUCACUAACUUGGAUUUACAAUCACCACUAAUUAAAAAUCUGUGACAAUGGUGUCUUUUUUUCCUUUUUCCCCAUGUGAGUUCUAAAUCAUGCCUUUCAGUUCCCCCAGUUACAUUAACUGUGACACAGGAGCUGUAGCAUGACGAGGUCUGUGAGGCAAGGUAUGCUCAGAGGAAGUGCAUUCUAAGGAAUCACUGUUACAUAACCCAUGUGCAUCCACUACUCGAUUAUAUACACACAUCUAUGGGAUAGUGCUCAAACAAUGACUGGAAACAGUGAGUGGCAAAAAUAGGCUCUUGUGUUUAGCAAUCACAGCAGAAGUUUGAUGCAGCAAUAGCAUACCAAUCUACAGUUCUUAUAAAAGCCCCUUUAUAUACAAUUCUUACAUAUAUUAUAAUUCCAUUACUGUGGUGUUACUUUGUUUUAUCUAUAGUACACAAACAUUUGAAAGACUUCUGUCCUGGGAGACAGGAGAUGGGUUAAAACAAGUGCUGGCUGCUACUUCUGAUGGGAUUAACAGUGUAUGUUUGGUCUGCUUGUAUAAUUAAGAGUUGUUAGUCCUUUUGUCUUUUAAGUUAGUAAAUGUUAGUAAAAACUAGGCCUAUGUGCUCUAAAUGCUUUAGAAAUUGUAUCUGUACUUAAUAAAACAAUAAAACAUAUUAAACUGA